rnacentral:rRNA from 1 species
GACGAACGCUGGCGGCGUGCUUAACACAUGCAAGUCGAACGAAGUGGCGAACGGGUGAGUAACGCGUAAUCAACCUGCCCUUCAGAGGGGGACAACAGUUGGAAACGACUGCUAAUACCGCAUCCUGCCGGAUGGGAUUGCGUCUGAUUAGCUAGUUGGAGUGGUAACGGCCCACCAGGGCGAUGCUCAGUAGCCGGUCUGAGAGGAUGAACGGCCACAUUGGGACGGAGACACGGCCCAGACUCCUACGGGAGGCAGCAGUGGGGAAUCUGCCGCAAUGGACGAAAGUCUGACGGAGCAACGCCGCGUGAGUGAUGACGGCCUUCGGGUGGUAAAGCUCUGUUAAUCGGGACGCGGUACCGGAAUAGAAAGCCACGGCUAACUACGUGCCAGCCGCCGCGGUAAUAC